UACAGAGGUCUCGAGCGUUAGGCGGAAUUACUGGGCGUAAAGCGUGCGCAGGCGGUUUUGUAAGUCUGUCGUGAAAAGCCCCCGGGCUCAACCUGGGAAUGGCGAUGGAGACUGCAAGGCUAGAGUGUGUCAGAGGGGGGGUAGAAUUCCACGUGUAGCAGUGAAAUGCGUAGAUAUCAGGAGGAACACCUGUGGCGAAAGCGGCUCACUGGACCACAACUGACGCUGAUGCACGAAAGCUAGGGGGAGCAAACAGG
rnacentral:rRNA from 1 species